GAUGAAGAACGUAGCGAAAUGCGAUAAGUAAUGUGAAUUGCAGAAUUCAGUGAAUCAUCGAGUCUUUGAACGCACAUUGCGCCCCCUGGUAUUCCGGGGGGCAUGCCUGUCCGAGCGUCAUUGCUGCCCUCAAGCACGGCUUGUGUGUUGGGCCGUCGUCCCCCUCCUAGGGGACGGGCCCGAAAGGCAGCGGCGGCACCGCGUCCGGUCCUCGAGCGUAUGGGGCUUCGUCACCCGCUCCGUAGGCCCGGUCGGCGCUUGCCGACGACCAUCAAUCUCUUUCUCCAGGUUGACCUCGGAUCAGGUAGGGAUACCCGCUGAACUUAAGCAUAUCAAUAAGCGGAGGA
rnacentral:misc_RNA from 1 species